rnacentral:rRNA from 1 species
GUGUCAGCAGCCGCGGUAAUACGUAGGGUGCGAGCGUUAAUCGGAAUUACUGGGCGUAAAGCGUGCGCAGGCGGUUCGUUGUGUCUGAUGUGAAAGCCCCGGGCUCAACCUGGGAACUGCAUUGGAAACUGGCGGACUUGAGUGUGGCAGAGGGGGGUGGAAUUCCGCGUGUAGCAGUGAAAUGCGUAGAGAUGCGGAGGAACACCGAUGGCGAAGGCAGCCCCCUGGGCCAACACUGACGCUCAGGCACGAAAGCGUGGGGAGCAAACAGGAUUAGAUACCCUGGUAGUCCACGCCCUAAACGAUGUCGACUGGGUGUCGGGAGAGAGAUCUCUUGGUACCGUAGCUAACGCGUGAAGUCGACCGCCUGGGGAGUACGGCCGCAAGGUUAAA